CGGUUGAUCCUGCCGGACCCCACCGCUAUCGGGAUAGGACUAAGACAUGCUAGUCGCGCGCCUCCCAAGCCUGAUGGUUGAAGAGGCGCGGCACACAGCUCAGUAACACGUGGCUAACCUGCCCUUGGGACAGGGAUAACCCCGGGAAACUGGGGCUAAUCCCUGAUAGGUGAGGGCUCCUGGAAUGGGCCCUCACCGAAAGGGCGCCUAGACCAUGCUUCUAGGCGCCGCCCAAGGAUGGAGCCGCGGCCGAUCAGGUUGUUGGUGAGGUAACGGCUCACCAAGCCUUUAACCGGUACGGGCCGUGAGAGCGGGAGCCCGGAGAUGGGUACUGAGACAAGGACCCAGGCCCUACGGGGCGCAGCAGUCGCGAAAACUCCGCAAUACGCGAAAGCGUGACGGGGCUAUCCCGAGUGCCGUCCGCUGAGGACGGCUUUUCCCCAGUGUAUAAAGCUGGGGGAAUAAGGAGAGGGCAAGCCUGGUGUCAGCCGCCGCGGUAACACCAGCUCUCCGAGUGGUGGGGAUGCUUAUUGGGCCUAAAGCAUCCGUAGCCGGCCGGGCAAGUCCCCCGUUAAAUCCAACGAUUCAAUCGUUGGACUGCGGGGGAUACUGCCCGGCUAGGGGGCGGUAGAAGCCGACGGUAUUCCCGGGGUAGGGGUGAAAUCCUAUAAUCCCGGGAAGACCACCAGUGGCGAAGGCUGUCGGCUAGAACGCGCCCGACGGUGAGGGAUGAAAGCUGGGGGAGCGAACCGGAUUAGAUACCCGGGUAGUCCCAGCUGUAAACGAUGCAGGCUAGGUGUUGGAGCGGCUACGUGCCGCUCCAGUGCCGCAGGGAAGCCGUUAAGCCUGCCGCCUGGGAAGUACGGCCGCAAGGCUGAAACUUAAAGGAAUUGGCGGGGGAGCAC
rnacentral:rRNA from 1 species